CGGCGGCCCAGACCGGCGAUUUCCGCCUUUGCGACAGCCGGGGCGUCAGCUAUGCGCUGUCGUUCAAUCUGCAGGCCACCGGC
rnacentral:tRNA from 1 species